rnacentral:sRNA from 1 species
AUUUAAGUUAAAAAGGGGGUAUAUAAUUUGCCUUAACUUUUCUCUUAGGCAGACAUCACAGAACAGAUUCUCCCAGUGAGAAAGUGAGUUGAGAGAUUUCCAGUAUCCACAACAUUGUCCAUAAGUGGCUGGAAAAACAAAAACACUGAGAUUAACAUGAAACAAAGAAGACAGUGGAUGAUGAGCAGGAAACAGAGAAAAUGACAGCAAGCAAGAGAAAGAGAGAGCGAAAACCCAUAUGCCAUACACUCACACACAGGCGCAUAGUUUUGGGUACCCAAACAAUGAACUCCACAUAGAACGCCAAGCAGAGCACAUAAUGCACAGAGGGCCAUGCCAUCCAUAUACCUACCUAUUAGUGCUUGCGAACAAGUUGAGUCGUACGGGUCGUUAGUAAACGUUUAACGGAACGAACGCGGGUUGAAACUGCAGCAACAACAACAACAAUAGCAACAACCACAUUAAGACACGGAAUACCCACACAAAAAGGAGAAAUACAUUGUGUGUUGAGUGUAUGUGUUCUUUUUUUUAAAUAUUUUGUAUGUGCACUUGAACCAACUACACCACCAACCAAACACACCACGGCGAAGUAGAAACACCAGUGAGUGAGUGAAAAAGACGGCGCAAGAAAUCGUCGUAGAGUUUAUAAAAUUUUUAGUAAAUUAAAAAAGAAAAGUGUCUAAAAGGUAAUUUCAAAGUGUUUUUCAAAGUCUGAGAAAACAUAAAAAGUUAGCCACAAGCCGCUAUUUUACAACACCAAACGAAAGGCGAAAAAUAAAAAUCCAAUACAAUUUCUGGUGUAUGCGUUUUACGGCUGUACCCCCCAUUUUUUGUCACCUCUGCCAGUGUGUGUUCGUGUGUAUGAACGGCAAAUAUACCAGUGUGUGCGUUAAAUUGAUGUAAACAUCAACAGAAAAAAAGAAGCAUAACAAAAACCUACACAAAGUCUGUGUGAGGAGAGUGCCCCCGCCGCCACUGCCCGCCCUUAUCUAAAACCUCAUUCUUACUUACUGUGUGUAAUGUUUUUGUAACAUCUACAAAAACAAAAACAAAAAAAAAUACCGCAUAUUUUUACGAAUACGAAACCAAGAAAAAACAAACGAAAUUAAAAACCAAUCGAUGACCACUAAUAAGUCCAGCUUUACACUUUGAUUCUUCUUACAUUCGUGUUUCGAUAUUGAAAGCCGUCGUGUUUAUUGUCGCGUAACGCCGCGUUCCGUCGCAAUUUAACAAUUUAAAUAGUUUUUGACGUGUUGUGUGUGUUUGUUGCCGCAACUAGAAAUAACCCUUUCGCCAACCCGCAACCAAGUCGUUGUACUCCUCCAACAAUUCGAUGAUUUAAUUUGAAAAUUGCUUGAGAAAAAGAAGAAGCAUAAGAAGAUCAACAUAGUUUGUGCAAAAAUAUAUAAAUAAGAAAAUAAAUCAAUUGCAAAUCUGUGGAAUAAAUUAAUGAAACAGCAUAGAAGCCUUCUUUCAUUGUGAGUAAAAGAAAAAAAAGUAAAGUAAAUAAAUAAAAUUAAAUUCAAGAGAGUCGCUCGCUCACUACCCAUUCGCCCAAGUAGAAGAAGCACAUGAAUAAAAGAAAGAGUAAAUCCAAGUGCAAAUAAAUGCUGUUUUCCUUGUGCUGUUCAACAUAAUUGCCUGAAGUGAAGUGAAUUAUAAAUUUAAUAUUGUGCGUUGACCGCGUGUGUUUGUGUAUUGUUCAUGCUUGGAGUCGUCCCCCUCUAAACUCAAGAAGAGUGCAAAUUAAAGUUUUGUUGUUUUUACCAAAACGAAAGGAAAAAAAAAAUACCAAGCCAACAUUCUCCCCAUAACAGCGCAGUAGCAGCAUAACAGAAGAGCGUCAGAAAUUAGCAAAGAGCAUUCAUUACCCAAAGCAAACGUUAAUGUCAUCGUCGCCGUUGUCAUCGCAGACCUAGACGUAGACGCCCCCUCCACCCCUUCGCAGAAAAAAAAGUGUUAACAAAAAGAAAAUCACCACCAUCAACCAAUUCAGUGUUUUAAAAAUAAAAAUCUAAUCCUGAAAGAACAUCUUUGUCUGUUAUUUCUCUCGCUCGCUCCAUCACACGCGCACCCAAGUUGGCAACGAAUAAAAAGAAAUUACCAUCAUUAACAAUAAUCAUCAGCGAGAAGAACAACAAGAACAUCAUCUCAGCCAUGUUGUCCUCAAGUAUCAGUGAUAUAUCAGCGAUGACCUGCGCUAGUCAACAACUACGUCGACGUCAGCGUCGUCAACAACAACUAUACCACCAACAGGAAAACCACCGCCACAUGGGUUCAUUUUAUGGCCCUAAUCGAUGGCUUUGGACUGCUGUACUAUUUGGAUUAUUAAUAGUCACUGUCAGUGCUAAAGAUGAGGUAAGUUUCCAUUCCCAUUUUCAUUUCGUUUUCAUUCGACUUGCUGCAUAUUCUAAUAUCACCACAUGAUGAUUGUAUGUGUGUGUGUGUGUGUGUGUGUUUGUGUGUUUACCUUACCGUAAACGAUUAAUUUGCAACGAUUGGCAAGAUGAUUAUCAAAAAUUGAAAUCAAAGUUGGCUUGCAAAGCAAAUAGAAUGGCAAUCGAUA